GGUGUCAGCGGCAGACGGGUGAGUAACGCGUGGGAACGUGCCCUUCGGUUCGGAAUAACUCAGGGAAACUUGAGCUAAUACCGGAUACGUGCGAGAGCAGAAAGGUUUACUGCCGAAGGAUCGGCCCGCGUCUGAUUAGCUAGUUGGUGAGGUUACGGCUCACCAAGGCGACGAUCAGUAGCUGGUCUGAGAGGAUGAUCAGCCACACUGGGACUGAGACACGGCCCAGACUCCUACGGGAGGCAGCAGUGGGGAAUAUUGGACAAUGGGGGCAACCCUGAUCCAGCCAUGCCGCGUGAGUGAUGACGGCCUUAGGGUUGUAAAGCUCUUUUCUCCGGGACGAUAAUGACGGUACCGGAGGAAUAAGCCCCGGCUAACUUCGUGCCAGCAGCCGCGGUAAUACGAAGGGGGCUAGCGUUGCUCGGAAUCACUGGGCGUAAAGGGCGCGUAGGCGGCUGAUUUAGUCGAGGGUGAAAGCCCGUGGCUCAACCACGGAAUGGCCUUCGAUACUGAUUGGCUUGAGACCGGAAGAGGACAGCGGAACUGCGAGUGUAGAGGUGAAAUUCGUAGAUAUUCGCAAGAACACCAGUGGCGAAGGCGGCUGUCUGGUCCGGUUCUGACGCUGAGGCGCGAAAGCGUG
rnacentral:rRNA from 1 species